rnacentral:rRNA from 1 species
AUGGUAGCCUUGAAGUUGGACUUUCAAAAAGCCUUUGACUCCGUCAGUUGGUCUUGCCUGCAUAGUGUCUUGGCUGCCCGUGGCUUCCCUCAGCGAUGGAUUAGCUGGAUCGAGUGCUUACUCUCUUCGACAACGUCCCGAGUCUUACUAAACGGGGAGCUGGGUGACUGUUUUGCGAAUAAAAGAGGGUUCAGGCAGGGCGACUCCAUCUCGCCAUAUCUUUUCAUUCUGGUGGCUGAUGUCUUGCAACGACUAUGCUGCUUCGCUUUUGAUUCUGGUAGCCUG